GACGUAGGGCGCGAGCGUUGUCCGGAUUUAUUGGGCGUAAAGAGCUCGUAGGCGGCUUGUCGCGUCGAAAUGUGAAAACUCGGGGCUCAACUCCGAGCUUGCAUUCGAUACGGGCAGGCUAGAGUUCGGUAGGGGAGACUGGAAUUCCUGGUGUAGCGGUGAAAUGCGCAGAUAUCAGGAGGAACACCGGUGGCGAAGGCGGGUCUCUGGGCCGAUACUGACGCUGAGGAGCGAAAGCGUGGGGAGCGAACAGG
rnacentral:rRNA from 1 species